rnacentral:rRNA from 1 species
CUACGGGAGGCAGCAGUGGGGAAUAUUGGGCAAUGGGGGCAACCCUGACCCAGCGACGCCGCGUGGGGGAAGACGGCCUUCGGGUUGUAAACCUCUUUUGUACGGGAAGAAGGAAGUGACGGUACUGUACGAAUAAGUCCCGGCUAACUACGUGCCAGCAGCCGCGGUAAUACGUAGGGGACGAGCGUUGUCCGGAAUUACUGGGCGUAAAGGGCGCGCAGGCUGUGCUGCAAGUCAGCUGUUAAAUGUCUGGGCUUAACCCGGGCAUGCGGUUGAGACUGCAGUGCUGGAGUGCUGUAGAGGCAAGUGGAAUUCCCAGUGUAGCGGUGAAAUGCGUAGAUAUUGGGAAGAACACCGGUGGCGAAGGCGACUUGCUGGGCAGCAACUGACGCUGAGGCGCGAAAGCCAGGGGAGCAAACGGGAUUAGAUACCCUAGUAGUCC